UUAUGAUCCAUUUGCCGUGGGUCCCACCAGCUAUGUAGGAAUACCCUAUCUUCUUUAUAAGAGCUUUGAUACAUGGAAAAUAUUGGAAAACAAUGUCCGAACAUAUAAUUUCCCCCCCGUAAUAUAGCAAAGAUCACGAAAAGGCCCGAAAAAGUACAUUUAGUUUAAAAUUUGGAGUAGAAAAAAAAACAAUAGAAAAAAUCCAAUUUCCUCCCUCGUUCAUCGGAGAGCUCUCUUUGGGCUUUCCAAAAAGGUAUCACAAGACAAGUUUGGCCUCACCGUCUAAAAGUUAUAGAGUCAUACAUUUUUAACAAAACAAAAUAGAGAAAAACGGAAAAAAGAGGGAUGCAACAUGAGGACUUUCCGGGAGGUCACCCAUCCUAGUACUACUCUCGUCCAAGGACCCUUAACUGCGAAGUUCUGAUGGGAUCCGUUGCAUUAGUGCUGGUAUGAUCGCAUGUGUUACUACAUGCAAUGUAAUCGUAUCUAUUCUUUUUUAAAGACUUUAUGAUCCAUUUGCCGUGGGUCCCACCAGCUAUGUAGGAAAACCCAAUCUUCUUUAUAAGAGCUUUGAUACAUGCAAAAUAUUGGAAAACAAUGUCCGAACAUAUAAUUUUCCCCCAUAAUAUAGCAAAGAUCACGAAAAGGCCCGAAAAAGUACAUUUAGUUCAAAAUUUGGAGUAGAAAAAAAGGCAGUAAAAGAAUUCCAUUUUCCUUCCUCAGUGAUCGGAGAGCUCUCUUUGGACUUUCCGAAAAGGUAUCACAUGCCAAGUUUGGCCUCACGGUCUAAAAGUUAUAGAGUCAUACAUUUUUAACAAAACAAAAUAGAGAAAAACGGAAAAAAGAGGGAUGCAACACGAGGACUUUCCGGGAGGUCACCCAUCCUAGUACUACUUUCGCCCAAGCACCCUUAACUGCGGAGUUCUGAUGGGAUCCGGUGCAUUAGUGCUGGUAUGAUCGCAUGUGUUACUACAUGCAAUGUAAUCAUAUUUCUUGUUAUUUAAAGAUUUUAUGAUCCAUUUGCCGUGGGUCCCACCAGCUAUGUAGGAAUACCUUAUCUUCUUUAUAGGAGCUUUGAUACAUGCAAAAUAUUGGAAAACAAUAUCCGAACAUAUAUCUUUCCCCCCGUAAUAUAGCAAAGAUCGCGAAAAGGCCCGAAAAAGUACAUUUAGGUCAAAAUUUGGAGUAGAAAAAAAAAGCAAUAGAAGAAUUCCAUUUUCCUUCCUCAGUCAUCGGAGAGCUCUCUUUGGGCUUUCCGAAAAGGUAUCACAUGCCAAGUUUGGCCUCAUGGUCUAAAAGUUAUAGAGCCAUACAUUUUUAACAAAACAAAAUAGAGAAAAACCAAAAAAAGAGAGGGAUGCAACACGAGGACUUUCCGGGAGGUCACCCAUCCUAGUACUACUCUCGCCCAAGCACCCUUAACUGCGGAGUUCUGAUGGGAUCCAGUGCAUUAGUGCUGGUAUGAUCGCAUGUGUUACUACAUGCAAUGUAAUCGUAUCUAUUCUUUUUUAAAGAUUAUAUGAUCCAUUUGCCGUGGGUCCCACCAGCUAUGUAGGAAUACCCUAUCUUCUUUAUAAGAGCUUUGAUACAUGCAAAAUAUUGGAAAACAAUGUCCGAACAUAUAAUUUUCCCCCCGUAAUAUAGCAAAGAUCACGAAAAGGCCCAAAAAAGUACAUUUAGGUCAAAAUUUGGAGUUGAAAAAAAACAAAAAGAAGAAUUCCAUUUUCCUUCCUCAUUCAUUGGAGAGCUCUCUUUGGGCUUUCCGAAAAGGUAUCACAUGCCAUGUUUAGCCUCACGGUCUAAAAGUUAUAGAGUCAUACAUUUUUAACAAAACAAAAUAGAGAAAAACCAAAAAAACGAGGGAUGCAACACGAGGACUUUCUGGGAAGUCACCUAUCCUAGUACUACUCUCGCCCAAGCACCCUUAACUGCGGAGUUCUGAUGGGAUCCGGUGCAUUAGUGCUGGUAUGAUUGCAUGUGUUACUACAUGCAAUGUAAUCGUAUCUA
rnacentral:sRNA from 1 species